rnacentral:rRNA from 1 species
GACAGAGGUCCCGAGCGUUAGGCGGAAUCACUGGGCUUAAAGCGUGUGUAGGCGGCGGCCUAAGUACCUUGUGAAAUCCCACGGCUCACCCGUGGAACUGCUCGGUAUACUGGGUCGCUUGAGCCACUUAGGGGCUACCGGAACAAAUGGUGGAGCGGUGAAAUGCGUAGAUAUCAUUUGGAACGCCAAUGGUGAAAACAGGUAGCUGGGAGUGUGCUGACGCUGAGACACGAAACGCCAGGGGAGCAAACGGG